rnacentral:tRNA from 1 species
UGGGGCGUAGUUCAACUGGCAGAGCACCGGAUUGUUACCUCGGCUGUUGGAGGUUCGAAUCCUCCCGCCCCAGCCA